CUUCCCACAUUAUAUUGUAACUUUCUUAUGAGCAGGACCUACUUCUGAUCCAGUUCUAUUGUAAAACCGAAACUGGGUCUCACUAUAUUGCCCAGUCUGGUCUCAAACUCCUGGCCUCAAGCAAUUCUCCCACCUCGGCCUCCCAAAGUGCUGGGAUUACAGUGGAGUCUCCGGCCAGAAUUAAUUAGAACAGCACUUUUGUGGCUUGUACAUGGACACUCAUCUUCAUUUCUUGGACUCUGAGCCUCAAUUUCUCAUUCAAGUGGAGAAAGCAUAUAACAAGAAUAUGUAAUGGACAUCCUACCUACAAUUUUCGGUAUAACAGUUACAGCAAGUAAAGUUAAUCAGGAUAAGAUCAAGACAUUCCAGCACCCAGAAGGCUCCUGCCUGUUCCAUACCAACAGCAUCUCCCAAGAUAACCUACUAUUCUGACUUCUAUUGCCAUAGCUUUGCCUGAUUUUGAACUUCAUGUGAAUGGAAUCCACGAAAAUUUCUGUCAACCUAUACGACCGAGUACAGGGGAGCAAACUCAAGUCCUGCAUCUCAUCCCCGAUGCCCCUUCCUCAGUCUACUCACGUGAGCAUAACUCA